UACGGGGGGAGCAAGCGUUGUUCGGAAUCACUGGGCGUAAAGGGCGCGUAGGCGGCUGGAUAAGUGGGAUGUUAAAUCCCCCGGCUCAACCGGGGACCUGCAUCUCAUACUGUUCAGCUCGAGCACAUCAGAGGAGACUGGAAUUCCUGGUGUAGCGGUGAAAUGCGCAGAUAUCAGGAAGAACACCCGUGGCGAAGGCGGUUCUCUGGGACGGUACUGACGCUGAGACGCGAAAGCGUGGGGAGCGAACAGG
rnacentral:rRNA from 1 species